UACAGGGGGUGCAAACGUUGCUCGGAAUCAUUGGGCGUAAAGCGCACGUAGGCGGUUCGUUAUGUCGGAUGUGAAAGCCCUUGGCUUAACCGAGGAAGUGCAUCCGAAACUGGCGAGCUAGAGUACUAAAGAGGAUCGCGGAAUUCCCGGUGUAGAGGUGAAAUUCGUAGAUAUCGGGAGGAACACCGGUGGCGAAGGCGGCGAUCUGGGUAGAUACUGACGCUGAGGUGACGAAGCGGUGGGGAGCAAACAGG
rnacentral:rRNA from 1 species